UACGAAGGGGGCUAGCGUUGCUCGGAAUCACUGGGCGUAAAGCGCACGUAGGCGGAUUGCUAAGUCAGGGGUGAAAUCCUGGAGCUCAACUCCAGAACUGCCUUUGAUACUGGCGACCUUGAGUCCGGGAGAGGUGAGUGGAACUGCGAGUGUAGAGGUGAAAUUCGUAGAUAUUCGUAAGAACACCAGUGGCGAAGGCGGCUCACUGGCCCGGUACUGACGCUGAGGUGCGAAAGCGUGGGGAGCAAACAGG
rnacentral:rRNA from 1 species